rnacentral:rRNA from 1 species
UGGGGAAUUUUGGACAAUGGGGGAAACCCUGAUCCAGCCAUCCCGCGUGUGCGAUGAAGGCCUUCGGGUUGUAAAGCACUUUUGGCAGGAAAGAAACGUCGCGGGUUAAUACCCCGCGAAACUGACGGUACCUGCAGAAUAAGCACCGGCUAACUACGUGCCAGCAGCCGCGGUAAUACGUAGGGUGCAAGCGUUAAUCGGAAUUACUGGGCGUAAAGCGUGCGCAGGCGGUUCGGAAAGAAAGAUGUGAAAUCCCAGAGCUUAACUUUGGAACUGCAUUUUUAACUACCGGGCUAGAGUGUGUCAGAGGGAGGUGGAUCCGCGUGUAGCAGUGAAAUGCGUAGAUAUGCGGAGGAACACCGAUGGCGAAGGCAGCCUCCUGGGAUAACACUGACGCUCAUGCACGAAAGCGUGGGGAGCAAACAGGAUUAGAUACCCCUGGUAGUCCACGCCCUAAACGAUGUCAACUAGCUGUUGGGGGCCCUUCGGGCCUUGGUAGCGCAGCUAACGCGUGAAGUUGACCGCCUGGGGAGUACGGUCGCAAGAUUAAAACUCAAAUGAAUUGACGGGGUCAUAGCUGUUUCCUG